rnacentral:lncRNA from 12 species
AGGGGGACAGGGGGACAGGGACAUGAGGACAUAGGGACAGGGACACGGGGAGAGUAGGGACAAGGACAUGGAGACAGUGGGACAGGGACACGGGGACAGGGAGGGGCAGUGCGGGGCCGGCGCCAUCCCGGCCCCAUCCCAGCCCCAUCCCAGUGACAUCCCAGCCCCAUCCCGGCCCCAUCCCGGUGCCACUCACCGCCUGCAGCAGAGCAUCCGCCUGGUUCAGCUGCUCCUCGCACAGCCCCGACUCCAUCUGCAGCUUGGUGACCACGCGCUGCAGCCGCUCCAGCCUGCGGGGACAGGGGACAGAGGGACAGGUCAGCUCCUGGGCGAGGGGCGGCCGUGCUGGGCGAGCACAGCGGGGCUGCUGUCCCUGUCCCUGUCCCUGUCCCUGUCCCUGUCCCUGUCCCGUGCUAAAUCCCAAUCCCUGUCCCGUGCUGUGUCCCUGUCCCUGUCCCUGUCCCUGUCCCGUGCUAAAUCCCAAUCCCUGUCCCGUGCUGUGUCCCUGUCCCUGUCCCUGUCCCUGUCCCGUGCUAAAUCCCAAUCCCUGUCCCGUGCUGUGUCCCUGUCCCUGUCCCUGUCCCGUGCUAAAUCCCAAUCCCUGUCCCGUGCUGUGUCCCUGUCCCUGUCCCUGUCCCUGUCCCGUGCUAAAUCCCAAUCCCUGUCCCGUGCUGUGUCCCUGUCCCUGUCCCUGUCCCUGUCCCGUGCUAAAUCCCAAUCCCUGUCCCGUGCUGUGUCCCUGUCCCUGUCCCUGUCCCUGUCCCGUGCUAAAUCCCAAUCCCUGUCCCGUGCUGUGUCCCUGUCCCUGUCCCUGUCCCUGUCCCGUGCUAAAUCCCAAUCCCUGUCCCGUGCUGUGUCCCUGUCCCUGUCCCUGUCCCUGUCCCGUGCUAAAUCCCAAUCCCUGUCCCGUGCUGUGUCCCUGUCCCUGUCCCUGUCCCUGUCCCGUGCUAAAUCCCAAUCCCUGUCCCGUGCUGUGUCCCUGUCCCUGUCCCUGUCCCUGUCCCGUGCUAAAUCCCAAUCCCUGUCCCGUGCUGUGUCCCUGUCCCUGUCCCUGUCCCUGUCCCGUGCUAAAUCCCAAUCCCUGUCCCGUGCUGUGUCCCUGUCCCUGUCCCUGUCCCUGUCCCGUGCUAAAUCCCAAUCCCUGUCCCGUGCUGUGUCCCUGUCCCUGUCCCUGUCCCUGUCCCGUGCUAAAUCCCAAUCCCUGUCCCGUGCUGUGUCCCUGUCCCUGUCCCUGUCCCUGUCCCGUGCUAAAUCCCAAUCCCUGUCCCGUGCUGUGUCCCUGUCCCUGUCCCUGUCCCUGUCCCGUGCUAAAUCCCAAUCCCUGUCCCGUGCUGUGUCCCUGUCCCUGUCCCUGUCCCUGUCCCGUGCUAAAUCCCAAUCCCUGUCCCGUGCUGUGUCCCUGUCCCUGUCCCUGUCCCUGUCCCGUGCUAAAUCCCAAUCCCUGUCCCGUGCUGUGUCCCUGUCCCUGUCCCUGUCCCUGUCCCGUGCUAAAUCCCAAUCCCUGUCCCGUGCUGUGUCCCUGUCCCUGUCCCUGUCCCUGUCCCGUGCUAAAUCCCAAUCCCUGUCCCGUGCUGUGUCCCUGUCCCUGUCCCUGUCCCUGUCCCGUGCUAAAUCCCAAUCCCUGUCCCGUGCUGUGUCCCUGUCCCUGUCCCUGUCCCUGUCCCGUGCUAAAUCCCAAUCCCUGUCCCGUGCUGUGUCCCUGUCCCUGUCCCUGUCCCUGUCCCGUGCUAAAUCCCAAUCCCUGUCCCGUGCUGUGUCCCUGUCCCUGUCCCUGUCCCUGUCCCGUGCUAAAUCCCAAUCCCUGUCCCGUGCUGUGUCCCUGUCCCUGUCCCUGUCCCUGUCCCGUGCUAAAUCCCAAUCCCUGUCCCGUGCUGUGUCCCUGUCCCUGUCCCUGUCCCUGUCCCGUGCUAAAUCCCAAUCCCUGUCCCGUGCUGUGUCCCUGUCCCUGUCCCUGUCCCUGUCCCGUGCUAAAUCCCAAUCCCUGUCCCGUGCUGUGUCCCUGUCCCUGUCCCUGUCCCUGUCCCGUGCUAAAUCCCAAUCCCUGUCCCGUGCUGUGUCCCUGUCCCUGUCCCCCGGGGGGCACCUUCAGCUGUCCCGCCUGCACCGCGCCCUGUGCGCCCCGAAAAUCACACAGUGCCUUAGGGGGUGCGCCUGGCACUGCCCCGGGACCCCCGGGACCCCUCGGGACCUGGCGGGCACCUGCACACCCCAAAAGUCACACACUGCUCUGAGGGGUGCGCCUUGGCACUGCCCCGGGACCCCCGGGACCCCUCGGGACCUGCGGGCACCUGCACACCCCAAAAGUCACACACUGCCCUGAGGGGUGCGCCUGGCACUGCCCUGGGAUCCC